rnacentral:rRNA from 1 species
UCGAGUGCGCGGUUGUAGCAAUACAACUGGCGCACGGCGCACGGGUGCGUAACACGUGGGUAACCUGCCCUUUGGUGGGGAAUAACUCCGCGAAAGCGGAGCUAAUUCCGCAUAAGAUCCGCAAGGAUGAAAGCCGCAAGGCGCCGAAGGAGGGGCCCGCGCCCGAUUAGCUAGUUGGUAGGGUAACGGCCUACCAAGGCUUUGAUCGGUAGCUGGUCUGAGAGGAUGAUCAGCCACACUGGAACUGAGACACGGUCCAGACUCCUACGGGAGGCAGCAGUGGGGAAUCUUGCACAAUGGGCGAAAGCCUGAUGCAGCGACGCCGCGUGGGGGAUGAAGCAUUUCGGUGUGUAAACCCCUUUCGAUCCGGACGAAACCCCGCAAGGGAUUGACGGUACGGAUAUAAGAAGCCCCGGCUAACUACGUGCCAGCAGCCGCAGUAAGACGUAGGGGGCCAGCGUUGUUCGGAAUUACUGGGUGUAAAGGGUUCGUAGGCGGUGCGGCAAGUUGGGAGUGAAAUCUCUGGGCUUAACCCAGAGGCUGCUUCCAAAACUGCUGUGCUUGAGUGUGGGAGAGGCGCGUGGAAUUGCAGGUGUAGCGGUGAAAUGCGUAGAUAUCUGCAGGAACACCCGUGGCGAAGCGGCGCGCUGGACCACUACUGACGCUGAGGAACGAAAGCUAGGGGAGCAAACAGGAUUAGAUACCCUGGUAGUCCUAGCCCUAAACGAUCAGGACUUGGGGUGCCACCCGUU